AGACCAUUAUGUGGACAAUUCUUCAACAACUCCGUGUACCUCUCCCAAGCUUCAUAAAGGGAUUCGUCGUUGCCGUGCAUGAAAGAGGUAAUGUCAUGUCUCAUACU